rnacentral:lncRNA from 1 species
AUCAAUAAAAUGGAAAUGAAGCAAGCAGAAAACAAUUUUUACAAGGAACAAUGUAAAAUUAAAAUCGAAAGUUCUGGACAACCUGUGUGAUGCUGUAAUAAUUAUGUUCCUAUUCUGUUAAAACUGAGAUAGAGAGUCUUUAAAACUGAUAAAAAUAGUUAUUUCUAUGAUGGAAAUUCUUUGGACCAAAUAAAUAGAGAAGUUAUUAUUGAAGACAUCAAAUAAAAGGAGGAAAAUUUAUGUGAAAAAUGAUUUUCUUCAUGAUAAAAGAAGAACUGACGUUAUUAUGAAACCAGUGUCUGGACGGUGUAUUAUACCGACUUAAAGCAAGAGUACCUUUUAAUACUCGAAUUUGUCACAUUUUUUAAUUUCAUAAUUUUAUUUAUGUAAGUUGUGAUUGUAAACAUAUUGUUAAGUUGUAUUCAUAGUUCGCUACUUGUUCUUUUGAAAUACUAUUUUUAUUAUAAUUGGUAUUGUAAAGUUGAAAUCCUCAAAUCAAAAUAUAAUUUAUAAUUCGAAUGUA